rnacentral:rRNA from 1 species
CUUACGCAUUAAAAGCAUGAACUAACACGGUGGUUGAAGUAUUAGGUGUUGAACUUUCUUAGUGGCGAACGGGUGAGUAACGCGUGGGCAACCUGCCCUCUAGAUGGGGACAACAUCCCGAAAGGGGUGCUAAUACCGAAUGUGACGGCAAUCUCGCAUGAGGAUGCUGUGAAAGAUGGCCUCUAUUUAUAAGCUAUCGCUAGAGGAUGGGCCUGCGUCUGAUUAGCUAGUUGGUGGGGUAACGGCCUACCAAGGCGAUGAUCAGUAGCCGGUCUGAGAGGAUGAACGGCCACAUUGGGACUGAGACACGGCCCAGACUCCUACGGGAGGCAGCAGUGGGGAAUCUUCCGCAAUGGGCGAAAGCCUGACGGAGCAAUGCCGCGUGAGUGAUGAAGGAAUUCGUUCCGUAAAGCUCUUUUGUUUAUGACGGAUGUGCAGGUUGUGAAUAAUGAUCUGUAAUGACGGUAGUAAACGAAUAAGCCACGGCUAACUACGUG